rnacentral:lncRNA from 1 species
ACAAUGAGAUCAUGUAGGCAGCUGCUGGAAAUAGAGCUUGCUCUGUUAAAUAAUGUAGCAGACAGUACAGGCUAGCACCAGGCACAGCAAAUACAGCAAUGCAGCAAUGCAGAAGGCAGACCUUGUCUAAACUCCUAGUAUUGAUGGAUUCUGCAGACAGACUGCAGAAGGGUGUGGCUUCUUGCCUCAGCUGCAGUACAGAUGUCCGGAUUAUAAUAUCAAGUCCUAUUCAGAGGAAACUUUCAUCUUUAUUUAAAAGGGAAGAAAGCAGUAAAAUUAAUCCCAAUUAAGUCAUAAUUGGAUUUACUUCAUUUUACAAAAUUUGUGCUUUGAAUACUGAAUACUUUUUAAAUAUGAAAAAUCUUCUAUUCAAGCAUGGUAGUAGGCACAAUGGGCUGGUACCACGUGCUGAACAGGGCCAAGGCGACAUCAUUAUUCAGACCACACCCAUAUGCAGCAUUUGUAGCAGCGUGAGUGCAUCUCCAUCCACGUUGGCCAGGCUGGUGUCCAGAUUGGCAAUGCCUGCUGGGAGCUCUACUGCCUGGAACACGGCAUCCAGCCCGAUGGCCAGAUGCCAAGUGACAAGACCAUUGGGGGAGGAGAUGAUUCCUUCAACACCUUCUUCAGUGAGACGGGGGCUGGCAAGCAUG